GAAUAUUGGACAAUGGGGGGAACCCUGAUCCAGCCAUGCCGCGUGUGUGAAGAAGGCCUUUUGGUUGUAAAGCACUUUAAGCGAGGAGGAGGCUACUCUAGUUAAUACCUAGGGAUAGUGGACGUUACUCGCCGAAUAAGCCCCCGCUAACUCUGUUCCCCCAGCCGCGGUAAUACCGAGGGUGCAAGCGUUAAGCGGAUUUACUUGGCGUAAAGCGCGCGUAGGUGGCCAAUUAAGUCAAAUGUGAAAUCCCCGAGCUUAACUUGGGAAUUGCGUUCGAUACUGGUGGGCUAGAGUAUGGGAGAGGAUGGUAGAAUUCCAGGUGUAGCGGUGAAAUGCGUAGAGAUCUGGAGGAAUACCGAUGGCGAAGGCAGCCAUCUGGCCUAAUACUGACGCUGAGGUACGAAAGCAUGGGGAGCAAACAG
rnacentral:rRNA from 1 species